rnacentral:rRNA from 1 species
AGUGAACGCUGGCGGUAGGCCUAACACAUGCAAGUCGAACGGCAGCACAGUAAGAGCUUGCUCUUACGGGUGGCGAGUGGCGGACGGGUGAGGUAUACAUCGGAAUCUACUUUUUCGUGGGGGAUCACGUAGGGAAACUUACGCUAAUACCGCAUACGACCUACGGGUGAAAGCAGGGGAUCUUCGGACCUUGCGCGAUUGAAUGAGCCGAUGUCGGAUUAGCUAGUUGGCGGGGUAAAGGCCCACCAAGGCGACGAUCCGUAGCUUGUCUGAGAGGAUGAUCAGCCACACUGGAACUGAGACACGGUCCAGACGCCUACGGGAGGCAGCAGUGGGGAAUAUUGGACAAUGGGCGCAAGCCUGAUCCAGUCAUACCGCGUGGGUGAAGAAGGCCUUCGGGUUGUAAAGCCCUUUUGUUGGGAAAGAAAAGCAGCAGGUUAAUACCCCGCUGUUCUGACGGUACCCAAAGAAUAAGCACCGGCUAACUUCGUG